rnacentral:rRNA from 1 species
AUUGAACGCUGGCGGCAGGCCUAACACAUGCAAGUCGAACGAGUGGCGGACGGGUGAGUAAUGUCUGGGAAACUGCCUGAUGGAGGGGGAUAACUACUGGAAACGGUAGCUAAUACCGCAUACCAUCGGAUGUGCCCAGAUGGGAUUAGCUAGUAGGUGGGGUAAUGGCUCACCUAGGCGACGAUCCCUAGCUGGUCUGAGAGGAUGACGGACAACACUGGAACUGAGACACGGUCGAGCAUCCUACGGGAGGCAGCAUUGGGGAAUAUUGCACAUGGGGCGCAAGCCUGAUGCAGACAUGCCGCGGGUCUCAAGAAGGCCUUCGAGUAGUAAAGCACUUUCAGCGAGGAGGCGGUACUCGCAGAAGAAGCACCGGCUAACUCCGUGCCAGCCGCCGCGGUAAUAC